GAUGAACGCUGACAGAAUGCUUAACACAUGCAAGUCAACUUGGUGGCGGACGGGUGAGUAACGCGUAAAGAACUUGCCUCACAGGUAGGGACAACAUUUGGAAACGAAUGCUAAUACCUAAUACUGUGAGAGAGCUUUGCGUCCCAUUAGCUCGUUGGAGAGGUAACGGCUCACCAAGGCGAUGAUGGGUAGCCGGCCUGAGAGGGUGAUCGGCCACAAGGGGACACAGUCACGGGCCAUACUCCUCCGGGAGGAAGUGGUGAGGAAUAUGCGACGAUGGUCCACGGACUGUUCGAGUGCUUAUGUAGGCCGGAUGAAGUUUUCUGGAAUGUAGAGUGCUUUCAGCAGCGACGGUACCUGCAGAAGAUGUGACGACUAAAUACGUGCUAGCAGCCGCGGUAAUUC
rnacentral:rRNA from 1 species